rnacentral:rRNA from 1 species
ACUCAAAGGAAUUGACGGGGACCCGCACAAGCGGUGGAGCAUGUGGUUUAAUUCGAGGCAACGCGAAGAACCUUACCAGGCCUUGACAUGUCUAGUAUGGGGAGCAGAGAUGCACCCCUUCAGUUUGGCUGGCUAGAACACAGGUGCUGCAUGGCUGUCGUCAGCUCGUGUCGUGAGAUGUUGGGUUAAGUCCCGCAACGAGCGCAACCCUCGUCCUUAAUUGCCAUCAUUUAGUUGGGAACUUUAAGGAAACUGCCAGCGUCAAGCUGGAGGAAGGUGGGGAUGACGUCAAGUCCUCAUGGCCCUUACGGCCUGGGCUACACACGUGCUACAAUGGCAGUGACAAUGGGCUGCUACUCUGCAAGGAGAUGCUAACCCCAAAAAGCUGUCCCAGUUCGGAUUGUCCUCUGCAACUCGAGGGCAUGAAGUUGGAAUCGCUAGUAAUCGUAGAUCAGCAUGCUACGGUGAAUACGUUCCCGGGUCUUGUACACACCGCCCGU